rnacentral:rRNA from 1 species
GCGGCAGGCCUAACACAUGCAAGUCGAACGGUAGCACAGAGGAGCUUGCUCCUUGGGUGACGAGUGGCGGACGGGUGAGUAAUGUCUGGGAAACUGCCCGAUGGAGGGGGAUAACUACUGGAAACGGUAGCUAAUACCGCAUAACGUCGCAAGACCAAAGAGGGGGACCUUCGGGCCUCUUGCCAUCGGAUGUGCCCAGAUGGGAUUAGCUAGUAGGUGGGGUAACGGCUCACCUAGGCGACGAUCCCUAGCUGGUCUGAGAGGAUGACCAGCCACACUGGAACUGAGACACGGUCCAGACUCCUACGGGAGGCAGCAGUGGGGAAUAUUGCACAAUGGGCGCAAGCCUGAUGCAGCCAUGCCGCGUGUAUGAAGAAGGCCUUCGGGUUGUAAAGUACUUUCAGCGAGGAGGAAGGCGUUGUGGUUAAUAACCGCAACGAUUGACGUUACUCGCAGAAGAAGCACCGGCUAACUCCGUGCCAGCAGCCGCGGUAAUACGGAGGGUGCAAGCGUUAAUCGGAAUUACUGGGCGUAAAGCGCACGCAGGCGGUCUGUCAAGUCGGAUGUGAAAUCCCCGGGCUCAACCUGGGAACUGCAUCCGAAACUGGCAGGCUAGAGUCUUGUAGAGGGGGGUAGAAUUCCAGGUGUAGCGGUGAAAUGCGUAGAGAUCUGGAGGAAUACCGGUGGCGAAGGCGGCCCCCUGGACAAAGACUGACGCUCAGGUGCGAAAGCGUGGGGAGCA